GCUCCACCCGUACCCAAACCCUACAGGUGCCAUCCCUACCUCCCUCGCUUGAUACCAUAGGCGUUGCACCCCCUCCCCUCCUUCCUGCUCGGGCGGAUAGCCGCCGGCCGCCGCAUCCCUUCUCCCCCUUCCUCCUCCUUCCUCCUUCCCGCUGGCGCCCAUCGCCCUCGUCCUCGGACAAGGGGCCUUCCACAGGGAUGGCCACGUCUUCAAACCAGGGGUAGAGGAGCAGGAGAGGGCCAAGAAGCCGACAUUGGGGGUGGAGCAGCCAGGCCAAGGAGGACCCAGGUGGUGGACGCGUCAUGGGGUUAAGGACAGGCCGAUGAUAUGGAUAAGUAGGAGGAGUGCCAUGGAUCUGCAGGGAAGGGAGGGCGACGCCCUCGGCGGGCGUCCGAGCAGGAAGCCGGCAGGGAGCACGUCAUUGUAGGCGUCAAGGGAGCCAUGGACAAGCCGCCAGGAGGAGAAAGCUCCCAGUUUGUGGAGGAGACUAUGUGACAGGUGUGUUUCUUCCUGUUUUUCUAACCCCUUUUCUCAUCUUUCCAUGACGACCUGCAAAAUUUUCAAGUUUUUCAGGUGGUGUUUUGGAAUCUAGAUUGAUUUGGUAUUGUAUGUUGUGUGAUGUGCCCUUGCCAAGAAUAUUUGAUGUGUGUGAUGACACGAGCAAUUGUAGAGGAGUGAACACCAUGCUCGAUUAGUGGACUGCCGCUUGAGAAGAAGCUUGUCAUUUGUCUCUUCGAGCCGCGGCGGAUAGGGGCCUUCAAAGAACUUGGGGUUUGACAUAGCCAUCGAGGAAGUGCAGGAUACAAACCAAGUGUAAUCAAAGAGGAUAUGGAUUCAGUACGGCCAUGAGUGAAGGAAUGUUACUCCAAUUUGGAUCUUGGAGAAUGUUUUCUCAGUGUGGUUCAGGUUAAAUUGUUGUCCUACUGUUCCUGCUCAGCCUCCUAAUGUUCUAUGUCUUCGCCGUGCCUUCUUCCAGCUUCUCUAUUGGUUUUCUCUUCACACCGAUGUUUGAAUCUCAUGUGACUCCUGCGCCCAGCCACCAUCUCCUCCCUAGCUAAGCAAGAGGUUCAAAGGCCACCGCUACCUCUUCCUUGCCGCCCAGCAGGAGGGGCACUAGGCAAAUUACAUAUCAGGAGAGCCAUUUAUUAGAGGAUCUUCUAAAAGGCUUUUUACAUUUGGUUCCUGAUGUUCUCCUUCUCGGGGUUUGCUCACUUCCUUUCUAGCUAGAAAUACCAUAUUUUCCUCUCUGCGUGUACUGUCUUGUUGUUUGGUUCGCUGCUCGUCUUAAUAUUCCGGAUUUAGCGGGGCAUCAUGUUUUGUUCAGCCUCAUGCUCCUAAGUGUAUCUCACAUUGUAUAGGAACCUGUCCUGCGGGGACCUUGCCUUUUAUGCUUCUUCUUGAUAAUAGAAGUAUUGAAUAUACCUGUUUCUUCUGCUCAAACAUUUUGGCUAAGUGGCAAUAUUCCAAAUAAAUGGAUGUAUCUCGAACAAAGGAGAUGUCUGAUGUAGUGAGUCGAAGUCGCUUAAUCAAGGAGAAAUUAGGAUUGUGACGCAAUUAUAUGGUUAGCAGGAAAGUUUAAACCUGAAAAUCAGACGAAACUCUGGCAAUAUUACGUUCUAUAAACGAUUUGGCAAUUGCAUUCACUAUCAGGUUGUGUUUAUAAUUUUGUACUUGACAGAUGUAGCUUUGAACCUACAUAGUGUUGGCAGUUGCUUGAUGAAGCCAAACUUACAACUCGAUAUUUUUAAUUUAUGCUGCAACUUGAUUAGGAAUUUCCUAUGUUAAGUUGGAACCACACAAAUUCUUAUCACGUCAUGGCUUGCUUGGGAUUCAAUUGCAGGAAGAAACUGUAUUGAACUUGCUUAAUUUUUCUUCAGAAAUAGUAUUGAAUCGGCUACUUGUUGGCAAUUUCAUAUUACAAAGUCGUCAUUAAGCGAAGAGAUAGGGUAUUGAUUUGGCUAACUCACGAAACUAAACACUCAAUUCGAGAAAUUUCAUUGGGAAUUUAUAUCCGUAUGAUUGAUUUUGUAAUGGGGAAUGGUGA